rnacentral:lncRNA from 1 species
AGGUGUCCGAGAAGGACGAUUGUCUAGAGAGGAGGUGUCAUCCAGCAAGAGGUAUGACAACAGUUUCAGCAACAUUGAGGAGAGUGAAGCUAACGCAGUUUCAGUUGGGAGGCAAAGGAGACCUCAGGUAAGAAGAAGUUAACCACCCCAUCAAUAACAUCAUCAAGUAUCAUCAGUCAUUCCGGUAUUUUCAGCCAAU